AGGCAUACAAUGCAGUCGAGCGGAUGACGGGAGCUUGCUCCUUGAUUCAGCGGCGGACGGGUGAGUAAUGCCUAGGAAUCUGCCUGGUAGUGGGGGACAACGUUUCGAAAGGAACGCUAAUACCGCAUACGUCCUACGGGAGAAAGCAGGGGACCUUCGGGCCUUGCGCUAUCAGAUGAGCCUAGGUCGGAUUAGCUAGUUGGUGAGGUAAUGGCUCACCAAGGCGACGAUCCGUAACUGGUCUGAGAGGAUGAUCAGUCACACUGGAACUGAGACACGGUCCAGACUCCUACGGGAGGCAGCAGUGGGGAAUAUUGGACAAUGGGCGAAAGCCUGAUCCAGCCAUGCCGCGUGUGUGAAGAAGGUCUUCGGAUUGUAAAGCACUUUAAGUUGGGAGGAAGGGCAUUAACCUAAUACGUUAGUGUUUUGACGUUACCGACAGAAUAAGCACCGGCUAACUCUGUGCCAGCAGCCGCGGUAAUACAGAGGGUGCAAGCGUUAAUCGGAAUUACUGGGCGUAAAGCGCGCGUAGGUGGUUUGUUAAGUUGGAUGUGAAAGCCCCGGGCUCAACCUGCGAACUGCAUCCAAACUGGCAAGCUAGAGUACGGUAGAGGGUGGUGGAUUUCCUGUGUAGCGUGAAUGCGUAGAUAUAGGAUG
rnacentral:rRNA from 1 species